rnacentral:ncRNA from 1 species
AGCACUUUUAAAAUUUAAGUGCUGGCAGAAGUAAGUCCGACGUGCACUAUUGCGUGCACUGCCCAACUGGGCUUGGGAUUAC